GCUGCCCCCCUACCGCUCCCCAGACCCCCUGAAAUCUACAGAGCUCGGAGUUCCACACUGUGUCUCAGAGAAGGUAAUUCUGGAUUGCUGGCCUACGGGAACAGUUGGGAGCCUUGAGGCAGUUUAAGAUUUGGAUUUCGUGCCCAGCACAUCGAGCUGAAAAAAAUGAGUCAACGUUGAGAAGAAGGCUUAUUUUUCAAGAUGGUGGACUGGGCACAGGGGUUUCUCUUUGCUGUCUCCCAAGGACCCAUUAAAAUGCUGAAGAAGGAAUAUGAAAAAGGUAUACCACACAACAUGAAGAGACCUGGGGAUCAGGAUCAGUGGACUGUGGGAGAAGGAGGCAUAUUUCUCCGUAGGAAUUUAUCCACCGUUCACUGGUCCAUUCUUCUGUUGGUGAACAUCUGGAUUGUUUCCAGUUUUUGGCAUAAAGCUGCUGUGGAUAUUCAUGUGCGAGUCUUUUUGGUGGCGUGUGCACUAAUUUGUCUUGGAUAUAUACCCAGGAGUGGAAUUGCUGGGACC
rnacentral:lncRNA from 1 species